rnacentral:rRNA from 1 species
GACGAACGCUGGCGGCGUGCCUAAUACAUGCAAGUUGAGCGCUGAAGGCUGGUACUUGUACCGACUGGGUGAGCAGAGAACGGGUGAGUAACGCGUGGGGCAUCUGCCUUUGAGCGGGGGACAACAUUGGGAAACGAAUGCUAAUAGCGCAUAAAAACUUUAAACACAAGGGGGAAGGUUGAAAGAUGCAAUUGCAGCACUCAAAGAUGAUCCCGCGGUGUAUUAGCUAGUUGGUGAGGUAAAGGCUCACCAAGGCGGUGUUAGAUAGCCGCCCUGAGAGGGCGGGUGGCCGCACUGGGACUGUGACCCGGCACAAUCGCCUUGGGGAGGCAGCAGUAGUGCUUCUUCGGCCAUGGGCGGAAGUCUUUCCGCGCUACGCCGAGUGCGUGUAGAAGGUUUUCGGAUCGUAGAUCUCUGCUUGUAGGGAGUAACGUUGGUGAGAGUGGAAAGCUCCGUAAGUGACGGUAACUACUCAGAAAGCGACGGCUAACUACGUG